rnacentral:lncRNA from 1 species
CAAAAAAAAAACUUUCAAAAAGUUAUUACAAUAUUUAUAUGUUUUUAAAUAUGGAUAAAUUAUACUCGGUGUCACUAAACUAUUACUAACUUUACGUUUUAGUCACUUAAUUUUAAAAAGUUAUAAAAUGGUCUGAACUACUCGAAAGUUUUCAUUUAAGUAAUUGGGCUGUGAAAAUCGUUGUUGUAUGACUUUCUCUCUUCGCACCGCCUACACCAACCAAAAUUUUUUCCAAUUAUCUUCUAAAGUUCAAACAACUUUUAAUGUCACAAAUAUGUAAAUCAAAAUCCAAACAACUUUCUUUUUUGAUUUCCUACACUGACAAUCGAAUCGGCUUGGAUCUAAUGUAUAUUCUUUUACUAAUCAAUGUGUACUAAUCCACCGUACCGGUCAUCAAAUCGUCAAUUGAAGUUCGCUAACGAAACUUUUUUUAAGAAAAGAAAACUUAAAUAAAAACUUUUAAAUAGUUUAGUGACUUAAAUGAAAUUUUAAAAAAAAAUUUAGUAACCAUUUUAUAACUUUUUUAAAUUAAGAAACUAAAUCAUAAAUUUAUUAACAGUUCGGUGAUCUUAAAUCUAGUUUAUUCUAUAUAUAUUAAUAUUUAUUCAAAUCCAAUUAUUAAAUUAUUAUCCAAUUAAACUCAUAUCUUCAAUAAAUUGCAUAUAUUAAACUUACAGCAGAUUUGUUUUCCCAGGAACCGGUGGAUUUCACAUUCACUUGCAUUGAAGCUUUAAUCCAGUCCGAGCCCAGAUAGUGUGAUGAGACUAGCAUUGUAAAUUGGGUGGGUUAGAUUGUUUUAGAUUUGAAUAAAUUUAGAUACUAUCCAUCUGGGUUUUCUCAAAUAAAUUUUGGGUUUAAAUUAUUUUCAAGUUUUGAUUUUUAUAAGUUUGAAAUUUUAGAGUUAUUAUUAUUUUAGGGUUGAAUCAGUUUGAGUUUGAAUCAUCGACUUGUUAAAUGUAUAUUAAAUGUCAGAGUACAUUUUGUCCCCUUAAAAAAGAGUUAGUCACUGUACAUUAGAUUAAUGAGAAAAUUGAUCCUUAUGUUGAAGUACAGAGAUUAUUUUUUAACAGUAAAAAUAGAUGAAAUUUUUAAUAGAAAUAUCAAAUUACUCUUUCAUCUUUGAGCAAAAGGAACAAAAUAUUAUUCAACUCCUAGUAUAAAGGCUUGCCUGAAUUUAAACAAAUUAAAAUUCGAUAAAUUAAAACUAGACCACGAGAGAAGUCCAAAUUCAAAUACCCUCACUAGUCCAAGUUCAAAGCCCAUUUUAUGUGGCCUCUGUGACUGUCGUGGGCUUAAAGGGAAAGUUGAAGAGUUCAUGUAGAAAUGGGCCAUAAUUGAUAAGUGUAUUAUCUCAUAAUAUGUUGAUUUCAAUGAAACAGAUGUGGAAGUAUUUUCAUUACGCACAAUAUUAAUCUUUAAAUCUCGUCAAAUAUGAAAUUUCUAUACAUUUCGAGAAAGUUUCAAAUGAUGACAUUACUGUGUACCUCCCUCUCAACCAACACAGAUUUCAAAACAUUAUGAGUUUUGAUUAAACCACUUAUGGACCACCCUAUUGGUUCAGAUUUCAAAAACACAAGAAAAAAAAGGGUUUGUGUUUAUUCUAGUAGGGUGGUCCAAAAUGUAAGGCUUUUGUAAUAAAUUGUACAGCGAAAGCACAAAAUAAGCAUUAGGAGUGUGAGUGGAGAGGUAUCCGCCGUCAGAUUAGAAUCAGAUGAACAGCCACAAGAGAGGUGGUCCGAUUUUCAUCACCAUUGUUAAGCUGCCAUCGGAUGAAACCCCGCAAUAAAAGGCGGUGGUCCCUCCUUCACUGUUUCAUUGUUUUAAUAUGCUGUGAACCGGGAAAUUUUUACCUGCUUCUAGGUAACGUCUUAGGUAUGUUUUAUUGUUUUAAUUGCUUGUAAUUAUUGGGUGUAGUCGAAUUAUAGUUUUUAAUUCUUAGAUAUUGGGUGAAAUUUGGAGUAAUAACGUAAUUAAUUAUAUUGAAAUUUAAAUUUUUCAUAAAUAAUUUUUAUAAGUUAUAAAAAUUAUAUUAUAAACAUAAAUACAUAUGAGUGUUUAGGAUCAUAGAAAAAGAUUUCUUAUAUUCUAAAUCCCAAAAAUAUUAUAAAAAAUAUUUUAUAUAUUUUUAAAAUUAUAUUAUUUAAAUCUUAAAAAAAUUAACAUUAUAGUCAACAUAUUAUAAAAGAGUUAUUAUAUAUUUAUUUAUAAAAAGUUGCGAUCAAGUAUGAACGUAACUUAUUUAUGUAUCCAAACUAUAUAUUAUAUUCAUAAAAAAUGUUAUAAUUUUUUUCCAUAACUUAUUUAUAAAAAAUAAUUUUCUAAAGUUGUAGAAAUUUUAUACUAUCUAUAUGAAAGUUUUGAAAUUUUAUAAUUUUUUUUUAAAGAUUAUAUGUUAUGAAUUUUAUAUUAUUUUUAUAAAAAAUGAAUUUGACCUAGCAUAAGUUUUUCUCCGAAUUAAGUUUAUAUAAGUUUUUAUAAUUAAAGUUACAAACUAUUUGGACUAUGAACUUAAAUAUUAUAAGGUUGAUGUUAAUUAUAUAAAUAGAAAUUUUUUUUGCACUAUAUUGUAGGGUAUGAUACCAUUCUCUCAAAUGGUGCCAGACACAAGCACCAUAGACAACUCGCGAACUCUUUAAUUUCAAACAUAUGUGGCUUCGAAAUGUGGUUGAUAAGACAAUUGUUGUUUUUAAAAACAUUUAUCAUAUUAACAAUGUCACCUUAGUAUAUCAUAAAAAUCAAGGUUGGAUCUUAUUAACAUUAUGUAUAUUUCAUAACUUCAAUCACAAGGGGAAUUCAAGACAACUCAUACUUUGUAGAGUACAUGAGAGAAUGAGAUAUUAAUAAUUUUAAUGAUGUGGAUUCAAAUUCAGAUGAUGAUGAACUUAGUUAAUGACCGACAUAUAAUGAUAAGAAGUAUAUGUUAAAUAUUAAAAAGGGAAUAACCUAACCAAUAUGCAAUAGAAAAAAUAGAUAAAAUUGCAUAUGAUGUUUACUUUUCUUGCUAUUCUUAUUAGGAAACGUAUUAUCGACUACUUUUUUAGACUAACAUAACAUAUAUGAUGAUUUGAUUUUAAUUUUUGUUACUUGUUUAGAAAUUAUUUUUAUCAUACUAUUUUUUUAUAGUAAUUAAUAUUUUAAAAAAUAUAAAUUUUAUAAAUGUGUAAUUAUAACUUGUAUUACCAAACAUGACAUAAAGAUUUAAGAAAUAAUUACAUUUUGUUAACCAAACACGUAUAAGGAAUUACAAAUCUUUAUAAUUAUAAUAAAAAAAUUACUAUCUUAAUAAUUAGACUUUCAUUCAAUUACUCUAUAUUGUCCAAAAAAACCUUAGUUUUUCUUUCGGUGUUGUAAGAUCUAGACAACGGCGAGCAUAUAUUCGAAAUUCGUACUAUUUUUUGUAAAGUACAAAAUAUAAUGUUGUUGCAUUACAACUAGGAAUCGAAGGAAAAGAAGAGCUUAAAUAUGAAAUUAUAUAUAUCACAAGAAUAUUUUGUUUUUUAAGAAAAAAAUUCUUAGUAUUUUUUUAUUUCAGAGAUAAAUAUAAAAAAUAAAGAUAAACUUUAGUUUGAUGCAAGUACGUAUAUUAAGAUUUGGUUGUGAUUUAAAUGUACAUAUUAAAUUUUGAUUUUAAUUCAAUUAUACAUAUUGAAAGAAAUAAAUAUAUCUAUUUAUUUUCAUAUUGGAUUAAAAUAGUUGCUUGUGUAUGCAAUACAUUGUUGAGGGGGUCGUCUUUUUUUUAGACGUUUUCGAGGUGUUGUUCGUCAGGCAAUUGACCAAUCUCCCAACAACCGAAUGGAUUGUCCCUUAGGGGUGUCAUCCCUCGUACUUUGUCGAGAGCUAGUGUGUCGUAUGGCUAUCCUAAAGGCCUGGUUCAUAGAGUUGAGAGCAUUUUGACCAUACGUGAGCGUCUCAUCGUUGGUGGGGUUCGACCCCCUAAUCUAUGGUAUAUAGGUCACUUGUUGAGGAAGUUGGUACCACUUAAUCUACAUGAUAAUAGUCAAAAUUAACAUAUUUUAGCCUCAUUCUUAGUGCAUUUUUGGGUGGUUAUGUGGUGCUACUUGUUAAUUACAUACUCCUAAUCCUUUAUAUUCAUGUUUUGAUACUUAAUAGAGCACUUGAUAGAGUGAAAAACGGGUGAAAAUUAGAACAUUGGAGCAGUCCAGAAGCUAAACAAGUGCAAUAGAGAUUUACACGUGCAAACCACACAGCCGUGUGACUCAAACAGGUGUAUGGAUUUCACAAACCGUGUGCAUUGACUGUUAGAGUAUGCCCAAAGAUCAAUCAUGAGAUGGUUGUAAUAACAUACUUGAUUUAUCAUGUUUAUUAAUAUAAGGCGUUACCAUUAUUAUUUCAGUUUCUUUUCUGUGUAUAUAAAUAAACUGUUUUAUAAUAAUGUCCUGAGAAUAAUAUGAUUAUUCUUAAAAGUUCCUUAGUCAAGUAUUAUUGUUGGAUAGGACAACGAUAAUGCAUUAAGACUAACGUGUAGUUGAUUGAUGAUAAAGAGUUGUCAUUGAUAUGGAAUGUCAGAAUCAUUACAUGAAUAUGUGUGUUAGAGAACAACAUAUUGGACUGACCCGUUAUGAGUAUGUUUCUUGGAUUAUUAUGUAAUUGUCACGACAUUACUCAUAAUGAUUAAUAUUUAUAUGAUCCUCAGACUUGAGAUCAUCAUAAUCCCAACAUCGUGAGUUGUAUAUUUUGAUACAGUCAAACGUACACCGUANNNNNNNNNNNNNNNNNNNNNNNNNNNNNNNNNNNNNNNNNNNNNNNNNNNNNNNNNNNNNNNNNNNNNNNNNNNNNNNNNNNNNNNNNNNNNNNNNNNNGAGGGAUAUGGUUGGUCGAUAUAGGAUAAGUCCCUCCUACAUAAUGGGAGUAAUAUCUUAGGCCACUUGAUUAAGUAAGACUAGAAAUGCAUGGCCAUGCUCAAAUAAGUUGAUAUUAGAUGUCAUACUUAUUUGUAUAUCGUAGUCUGCUUAAGAUAUCAAGGAACAUGGAAUGGACAAUGCAAUUGUGACUAUUUCAUGACUUGUGUCCAAUCCAGAGAUAAAGGACUUAAGGAUUAUUGCAUAAAAGGUUAAUCAUAAAAAGGUUAUGUCGAAUCAUGAUCUCUUGUGACUUAGGUAGCAAUGAUGCAUUGCUAGAUGCCACUCAUUGUUCGUAGUAUUAGAAUCGUUCUAGUGUUACUGCUAACGUUACAAGAACCUACAGGGUCACACCCUAUAGUUGAAAUGAACGAAAUAUACCAUAGUUGGUAUUGUUUUUGGGGUCGCUUGAAUUAAAUUAAUUAUAGAAUUAAUUUAAUUCGGUAAUCAAAUUUCCAACACAUUAUGUACAAGGUUGUUGUACGUAUAGUGAGGACAUGAAUUUGGUUAGCAUAAGAAUUCAAAUAAAUAUAUGGUUUACCGAACUUAUAUUAUAAUUAAUGUAAUUAUAAUUUUCGGUUUAAAAUAUUAUCAUAUUUAUUUAAUUCUUAAAAACCCUAAAAAACAAAAUGAUAUAAAUAAUCACGUUUUUCUUUGUUUGAGUCUAGCAGCCGCAUAAGAAAAAUAACUCUCAAAAUUGUUUUGGGGAUUCCUUCCGUUCGUAGUCAACUGGGUGGAUUACGUAGAGACCGGGAUCACGAUAGAUUGAGAUUUUGAUUCGACAGCAGAUCAGACUACUUGUUGUUGAGGUGUUGCUGUCUACUCUGAAUAAACAUUAGGUAAAUUCGUAACCUUGAUCACCCCGAUUCGUUCCUCACACAUGGAUCCAUGGUUAGGGUCGCCGAUUUUAAUUUUUCCGCUGCGCCGUAGGGGUGCCGGCGAUCCAACAUUGACAACUAGAAGUGACGAUUUUUAGGGGUUUUUUUUUUUUUUGCACUUGGAGAAGGUAUAAAAACGGGAAUACAAUAGGAGGAAAGUAGCCGUAAUAGGAUAGCAAAAAGUUACCCCAAGAACACCAUUGAAGCCGAUUUCCAAGCAAUUUGCCAUCAAGGUUCGAGAGUCCAAGCUGAUUUUCGAGGGAGUUAUCAUGAAUUUCUUUUAUUUUAAUGGUUAUAUUGUAUUUUUGGUGUUCAUUCUUGCAAUUAUGGACUAAUUCUCUUAAUACCUAGGGGAGAUGAACCCUAGGAUGGAUUCUAUUUUUUGAUUUCUAGUUUUAUGCAAUAAAAUCUUAGUUUAUUUGUUUUCAAUUAUGAAUGCUUAAUUAUUUUUGAGUUGAUAAUUCUAUGGUGUUGAUCCAUGUUUGAUGUGUAUAAAUCUGAGGUUGAAAAGACCAUUCUAGUGAUAAUGUCUUAUAUAAUUGAAUAGAGUUGCAUACAAUCAUAAAAAUAGAACGACAUAAACUCUCUAAGGGACAAUACCUUCAAUUAUUGAGAGAUCAAUAGAUUACCUGAUAAACGAUACUUCAAAGAUUUCUCUAUUGAUUAAAUGGUAUAAUUACCAUCAUUUCUUUUAUAGGGAUUAACCAAGCGCUUUCACUCCAUAAAUCAUUGAACAAAGGGAAAGGUAAAAAAUCCCCUCAUGAUCAAUAGUCGCAUACCCUAAACUUAAAUUAAAAAAAAAAACCCACCAUCCAUGCAGAGAGAGAAGUGGAUUCAGCGGCCUACCCCACCACCAGCAACUUGUUUGGUGGGAACUGUCUGAAGCCAUGACAUAACAUUCAAAUGGACAGCUUUUUCUUCUUUAAUUUCUUUCUAUGGUAUUUGGUGCCAUAGAUUUUAGUUUUCCAAGAUUUAUGAAUAUGCAUCCGUAGUACUAUACACUGGGUGAUGAGCCCCAUCAUCACAUUUAUCUAAAUUUCUAUAUCACUAUCACAAAUCACUCAUCCUUACCUGCCCUUCUUCAUUUUCUUUUUCCUUUUUUCAGUUUGAAUUUUAAGUUUUUUCUGCCCUAAAUGGCUCUGCAGUAAUUUAUUUCUUCAUUUUAUACCAAACGCUUCUCUCAAUAUUGAUCUUGGAUGGACUCUAUUUAAACAUACAUAUCAACACUGUAAAUUAUAAUUUCUGGACAAAAUAACAUUUAGUAAUUGAAAUUGGUAAUAUUUUUAUUUUAGUCCUUGAUUUUUUAUUUAUUUAAUUUUAAAGUUUAACAGGUUUUCUCAAUUUGAUCCUUAAACUUGAAUUCUAUUAAGGCAUAAUGAUGUGACACAAUAUUAAAGUAUCACAUCAUCAUUUGAAUUUUAAAAAAAAAAUCAAGAAAAAAAUUAUGAUUUCUUUAUUUUGUCUUUUUAGAUUUUAUAUAAAAAAAAAUUUAUAGGUGAUAACAUGGCACAAUCUAAAAAUACCAUACCAUCACUAUUUUAAUAGAAAUUAAGUUCAUAAGCUAAAUUGAAAACAAAAAAAAAAGUUGUUAAGCGUCAAGAUUAAGUGGACCUCCAAAAAAAUCAAGAAUCAAAUAGAGAAAAUUUAUCAAUUUUUAUUGAUUAAAUGUUAUUUUAUCCCUUUAAAAAAUAAAUACUGUAACCAUAUCAACAAUUACCAUGACAAUAUAUAAAAUAUUAUUUUAAACUUAAACAAAUCAUUUAAAAUAUAUUACUAAAGAAUAUUAUUAGGAUUUGUUAAUUCAUCUAAACUAGAAUUAUUCAUGGUCAGCCCUGAUUUAGGUUAAGCACUAACAUAAUUUUAGAUCCGAUCAUUAGGUUUGAGCCUGAUUUAAAAAAUAAACAUAAAUUUUAUUUAAGUUCGAGUCGAAUAAAAAUAUUAAAAUUCAAGUUCGGCUCAGUCUGUCAGUAUUAUUUUUAAAAAAUAUAUUUUUAAAUAUAUAAUAUACAAAAUAUGCUAAAAAUAUUAAAAUAAAUAUUUCCCAACAAAUUAAAAAUAAAUUUAAAAAAUAUUUAUACUUAAAUAACACAAGUGCAACUUAACAAACAAAUACCUCUAAAAUAAUAGCAAAAUUAACAAUAAAAUAAAGUGUUAUACAAUAUUUAAUAUAGCAGCAACAUAAUAAUGAAAUGGUAACAAAACAGUGAGAAAACAACAUCAAAACAACAAAGUUUCUUUUAUUGCAAAUUCAAGCCGGACUGAGCCCGGGCCAAAAAACCUUACCCGAUACCUGGCCCAUUUUCUAAUUUGACCUUAUUUUUUAUCAAAAUUCAUUUUUCUAGUAAUAUUUCUACCUAAACUCUCUCAUUUUUUGAACAAACCUUCGAACCGAACCACAUGGCUUGGCCAUGGAGAACUCUAAUCUUAACUUAAAGGGAAUAUACGAAAUUACAAAUAAUGAAUGAAAUUUUUUUUAGAAUCAUGAAUAUGAAUUAUUAUAACCUAAUCGUGAAAUAUCUAUAUUUUAAUUAUUGAGGUAAGAAAAUUUAUAAUAAUUAAUACAUGCAUAUAUUAAGAAGGGGAUAUCAAAUAUCUAUAAUAUACAAAUAUAUAUUAUUCACCUUUAACCUAAGAGCUUUUUUAAUGUCUAUAAUUAUUGGUAGAGGAACUUUCCAGCAGCCCAAAGAAAAAAAAAAUUCGUACGUGGAAUUUGGAAAGGAAAAAAGAAAAUUAUAUUCUUAUGGAAACAGCAUCGAAAUUAUUGAGAAAUUAUAUUUAGCCAACUCCCUGCUUAAUAAUAUAUUCCUUAAUUAAUUUCAAUCGAGAAUAAUAUUAUAAGAUGAAACUUCCACAGCCCAAUGUUUUUCCAUGCUUUCGUAUAAAUUAAAUAUAAUUUAUGGUUGCAAUAAUUAUUUUACUCAACUUUAAUUAAUAUUAAAAAUAUAUAAUUACUUAUUUAAAGUUUAUUAAUAAAAAAAUAUACAUAGGCAAUCCUUUCACUUCAUCUCCAACCCGUUUUAAUGCACUCGAACUUAUAUCCUCUUAUAUUGAUAAUAAUGUCUAUGCCAAUCAAACUAAUACUCAUUCGACAAAAUUAAAACAUGUUUCAACUUAAAGAAAAGUUAGUAACAAACUUAACCACAAUCCCAAAUGGUGCAUGCAUGGAUCACAUAGGUGGUUUUCAAAUAAAUUUCUUGCUUAAGAAGCAAGUAACCUAUCAGUUGGUUUUUUUAUGCAAAAUAUUUUUAUAAAAACUUGAGAAACAUAAUUUCUUGGACUUUUUUUUUUCGAGAACACAAGUGUACAUUUAUAAUAAAUAAGAAAUAUAUACAAUUUUAUUUUAUUUUAAUAAAAAUAUUUAAAAAAAACCUAUUUUGAUUUUCAAAGUCAUGCAAUGCAUGUAUAUAUGUGGGAUGGUGCACCAACUUUUGGAAAAGAUUUAUGAUUUAACAACCACCGCCCCCCCUCCCCAUAAAUGUGCACAACCCAUGCCACCUAUGGCAACCAUGUGCACCAAAGCAAUGAUCCCAACUCAAUGACUUUGCCUACAAAUAUUCUAAAUUCCAAUACUUUUAGCAAAAAUCAUGGCUAAUUAACCAUUUCUUAACAAAAAAAAAAAAACAAAUAUUUCUUAAUGAAAGGGGAAUUUUGUUCAUGCAUGACGUUGUUUAAGGAACAAAAGGGGUGAGGACAUUGAAAUCCUCUUUUUUUAACUAGUAUUAUUUAAAAAAUUCGAUGCUUUUAAAAUUAUGUAUUUUUAUACUAUCAUGAUAUUGGUUUAGUGGUAACUUAUACGCGAGUUCAAGUAAAGGCGAAGUUAAGAAUUAUUUCGAGGUUAGAAUUAAGUUAUAUAUAGUUUUAGAGUUAAAAUAUAAUUUCAUCAUUGUAUUAGUUUAUAUCAUUAUAAAUUUUAAAAAAAUAAAUUAAAAAUUAUCAUUUUUAAGAGGUCAAAGCUCAAUUUAAUCAUUUAUAAUUUUAUAAAAUAUGAAGAAUCAAUGUGAUAUUUUUUUUCAUUUUAGGGCACUUUGGAACACUUUAACCCUUUCCUUAAACAUAAUGCAACUUUUUUGUGUAGAAAAAAUGCUAGUAAAAUUUGGGUUUGCAUAAUUUAUAAAAUUAUGGGUUUUAUUUAAGCAUUUAUCAAAAUAAUAUAUGUUUUAAAUUAUUUAUUGAAAUAAUAUAAAAUAAAUAGUAAAAGUUUAAAAAUAAAAGAAAAAUCAUCAUGGAGGAUGGCUAUUUCCUAAUAUUUUUUCUAGUAAGUUAAUAUAACAAAAAAAUCUUUGUCACAUUAAAAUCCCAAAUCAUCACCGUGAAUAAUGAUUUUAGUCAUUCGCUAUGAUAUUGCUGAAAGCAUGUUAAAUUGAUAAAUAAUUUUUAAGAUAAGUUGUUUUAAUAAUUAAACUUCAUUUAUAUGUAAAAAAAAAUUUGAUAGGUUUAUAUUAAAUUUUGUUAAGUUAAUUCCUAAUUAUUGACGCUUAAAAUAACACAUUAAUGAUAUAUAUUGACUUAAAUGAUUAAUUAAAUCAUUGAAACGAAGAGGUUUUUUCAAGCAUUUAAAUUUAUAUUGAUACUACAAUAAAUAAAUAUAUAGACAGUGGCUUAGCUUAGUAGAGACCUAGAGGCUAUAGCCUUUCUUAAAAUGAUAAAUUUUUAAUUUAAAAUUUUUAUAAUUUAUAAAAUUUUAAAUUAAUAACAAAAUUACAGUUUGUCCUUUUAAAAUGAUAAAAUUUUGAUUUAACUCUUUAAAAAUUAUAAAGAUAUACAUCACUAAAAUUACAUUUUUACUAUUAUAAAUAUAUACCAUUUAAUUUUUAUCUCUCAACAAACUUUUCGGACUCCGCGAAUGCAUAUGGAGAUUUAGAUCUAAUUCUUUUAAAAGGAUAUGUAUCAAUUUGUUGAGCAAAAUAAGUGCUACACAGUUUCAACGACUAGAUACCGUAGAUAAUGACUUGUCUGUAGCCCAUGCCCAUGGUGAAACAAAAAUGUUUUUUUUUUUUUUAAAUAAAAGAAAAUAUAAGUUCUAAACAAUAAAGAUUUGAUGGGAAAGGGUGGAUUCUUCACAAGUGCCUGAAACCUGUGACUGAACCAUUUAUAUAGUAUCAUUGCUUUCUUGUCUUGGAACUGGCUGGCUUGUCCUUUGAUUCCCCCCAACUUUUUUCAUUUUUAAGCCACUGAUAAUCAACUAUUUCGAAUAAAUUAGACUGAGAAUUAGUUAGAGUAUUCAUUCAAAGAAAAGAUUUGAGAUUGAUUAAAUAUGAUUAAAAUUUUACUUGAAUUGGAUCAAUUACAAUUUUGAAAACUUUGAGAAAAGAUAAUUGUAGAAUUAUGAGCCAAUUUCUCAUUAAAUAUAAAAAGUGUUUUUGGAAAAGUAGUUCUAAAUUUGUUAAUAGUAUAGUAUAUGAAAUAUGUAAAUUUACAUUAUAAUAAAAAAUAUAUUUUUUAAGAUUCAAAUAAUAAUCUUAUAUAGAAUUCAACACUAAUCGAAUCCAACUUGAGUGAAAUGUUUUAUUGAUUAAAAAUUAGGUUGUGGAUUGAUAUGGAUUGUUGUCAAUGCAGGAAGAUAUGGAGUCAAAUGCGCUGAAACGCAUUAUCCUCCUACUUUUCAGUUUAGCAAACCCUAUUAAAAUUGCCCUAAUAUAUUUUGCUAAUUAAAAAAAUAAUAGAAUAACCAAAUUGAUUGAAUUAACUUCUAAUCUUAUAAUUUAAUAAAUUUCAUUUAUAUUAUAUGUCGUGCUAACAACACACAAUAAUCAGAAAAAAUCAAUACUUUCAUUUGUUAUAUUAUUAUUUUUUCUUGUAAAUUCAAUUAUUGAGAAUACAGCACAUGAUUUUUCAAAAUGGGAUCCAAUAAGAAAAUAUACAGUACAAGUACAAGCACAAGCAAUGGCUAUGCAUAAUGCAUGAUUAUGUGUUGGGCCACUAUACAGAUUUUUAGCUAAAUUAUUUUAACUCAAUCUCAAUUCUAAAAUUGUUUAUGUAAACAAAUAUUAUUUUUAAAUCAUUUUAAUUAAUUUUUGAUAGCCUCAAAUAUUAAGAAAAUAUUUUUAAAUUUCUUUAAUAAUACUCAAAUUUAAAAUAUAGAAAUUAAAAAAAUAAUCAAGAGGUUAUUGACAGAAAGAUUAAAUGUUAAGAUUAUUAUAAUAUAAAAAAUUAUGAAUAUUGCAUUAAAAAGAUUAAUAUGAACACGAAUUUGUAGUCCAACUAAGCUACAUCUCAUUCCUUUUCAAACUUUUUAAAUGCUUUUGCAUGUUCUCCAUUAAUGUAUAUGAAUUUAUCAAAAUAAUUGAUUUAGGAAAUAUAUUUGAUUUAAAAAUAAUUGAAAUGAAUUUCUAUUUUAAGCAAUACAUUACAUAUAAAAAUUUAUAUUUUUUAAACAUUACAUAAAAUAUUUAAAUGAGAAUUUCCUACUUAAAAAAUAGGUUAAAAUAUGCAAUAAGUCUCUACAAUAUUUAUAAAAUUAGAAUUUAAUCAUUAUAUUUUAAUUUUUAAAUUUUUUUUUUCUUCUUAAAUUUUAAAAUUCGGUUGCGAAUUUUAAAAUUAGAAAAAAAAAUAACUUAAUAAUCAUGUAACUGAAAAAUAAUAUUAUAAUAAACCUAAAUUUAAUAAACUAAUUUUAAUGUUAUCUGAUUGAACUUAAAUUUUAAAAUAAAAAAAUAAAAUUCUAAAUUUAUAAAAAUAAAAAAUUUAUAUCAUAUUUUAACUAAAAAUAUAAUAAGUUUAAAUGUCUCAUUCAAAUUAAGAUUUAGUAUGUAAAAUUUGAUUUUUUUUCCAAAAAUUGAAUUGAUAUCGUUUAAUUAAUGAUAUUAAGUUCAAUCACAUACUUUAUUAUUUAGUUUUUUUAAAAAAGUAUAUAUUAUUUUAUUUUUUAUAUCAUAUACCUUUUUUUCCCCUAGUGUUCCCUUCGCUUCCCCAGAGAAAGUGAGUUCAAGAAGCUCCAAAAAUCGUUGCUAAUGGAUGCUUCCAUCUAUGCCACCUUCAGUUCCAAAAAUAUCUCAUAGAAAACGAACUCAAUCCCCAUUGUAGCCCAGUUCUAUAAACCAAAAUCUCCCCAUUGCUUAAUUAAUCACUUUGCAACUAUAAUUUCUUUAUAUAUAUUUUUCUUCACCCGUUUAUUAGAUUUCUUCAAUUUCCUGUUACUGGGUUUCGAUCUCUCAGUGCAGAAAAACUGUUUGACCCCUUUUUUUUUUUGCAAGAAAUUGAGUUAAUUUUUGUUACAAUAAAAACUUAUUUCUAUAUUAAAAAUUUGGGUUACUUUUUGAUUCAAUGGAAAAGACUAGGUGCAAUGGGUAUGGAUUGGGAUCCAGAUUGGAUCUCUUGGGUUUCGUUAAUUGUUAUUAAUUGUUUUGUUUGUUUAAUUUAGUCUUUGUUUUUGUUAAACUUGUUCUUUGUGUUUUGUACUUCUUGUUUUCCGAGCUUUAUUUUCAGCCUUUUAUUUUCAUUUUUUGUUUUCUGGGUUUGUUCGUUUGGUAGGAAUUUAGAAUGAGGUACAAUGGUUAAGGGUUUACAACAAAUAUUUUCAUUAGUACCUGAGGGUUUUCAUGGGUUGAACUCAACAGAAUAAUAUGGAUAGUUUGAGGGAAGACGAGGAAUGUUCAUUUUUUGAUGCUAAUGAACACAUUGGAACAAUGUCUGGUUUACAUUCUGAUUCGAAUUCUGGUUUUGAUAAUUGGUCUGAGAGUUGUUUCGAUGUAUGGAUUCGUAGCCCUCAAAGUGUUAACGAACGCCGCAUUAAGUUUUUCGAUUGGAUGGGAGAUAGUUUAGACCGAAUUUCGUUCAAGAAUUCAGUAGAUGAACCUAGUUUGGAAGGAGAAUUUAGCAGGGUUAUGGAAACUAGUGAUGCUGUUUUGAGAACACGAGGCUCCGAAGAGUUCUCUUCGAGCCGGUCUUCAAUGUCUUGUUGGUCUAAUGAUAAUCUUGAUUUGUCUGAGGAGUCGAGUUCGUGUGAUAAGUUUGUAUGUAGGGAAGGAAAUGAGGAUUGGGGAGAACAGUGUGGUGUUGAUGAAAAGCUUCAAGAUGGGGAGGGAAUUGAAGGUUGCGAAACGAAGGUGGAUCAGUUGGUAAAUGGCGAAAACAGCUCCACGUCUGAGAUCCCUUGUGUGUCAAUGACCUCAUUGCAACAAGUUACGGAGAGGAAAAUGGAGAAGCAGAAUAAAACCGAGAGAAUGCCGAAGAAAGCUAAGAACCGGUGGUUAAGUAAAUUGAUUACACGUUUCCUGGAUAAACAGGUUGAAGAUGAUUCAUUGAGUGGUAACAGAGAUAAUUCAGUUUGGGGGAAUAAGGUUCAGAGGGUUAAGGUUCAUCAAUGCAGGAAAAGAACAAAGGAACUUUCUGCACUUUUAAAGGGACAAGUUAUCCAGGCUCAUGAAGGUUCAAUUUUGACGAUGAAAUUCAGUCCUGAUGGACGGUACCUAGCUAGUGCCGGUGAAGAUGGCGUUGUACGAGUAUUGCAAGUGGUGGAGGAUCAAAUGAGCAUCGACCUUGAUAUCCCAGAGAUGGAUCCUUCCUGUUUAUACUUUACGGUGAAUCAUCUUUCUGAAGUGAAACCCCUCGUUGUAGAUAAGGUAAAAGAAGGCAAUAUAAGAAUCCCGAGGAAGACAUCUGAUUCUGCGUGUGUGAUCUUCCCUUCCAAAGCUUUCCGGCUAGUCGAGAAACCAUUACACGAGUUCCAUGGACACACUGGUGAGAUCUUGGAUCUCUCAUGGUCCAACAAAAAUGUGAGUGGAACAGAUUUACGUACAUGUUUCUAGAAAGGGAAAACAUAAAUUUUCAUCUUAUAUGUCUCCGUUUUGUGUUCCGUGUUUCAGGUCCUGUUAUCUUCCUCGGUUGAUAAAACCGUUCGUAUGUGGCAAGUUGGAUGUGAUGGUUGCCUCAAAGUAUUUUCUCAUAGUAAUUACGGUGAGCUUCUAUCAUUAAACUUAUGUUGUAUUUUGGUGCAUGAUCUUGUUCUGAUUUCUGAUAAAGAAUUACCUCUUAUAUUAUGAUGCAGUAACCUGUGUUCAGUUUAACCCUGUGGAUGACAAUUUCUUCAUUAGUGGUUCAAUAGACGGAAAAGUGCGCAUUUGGUCAAUUUCUGGCUGCCAGGUUGUUGACUGGAUUGAUGUAAGAGAUAUAGUUACUGCAGUGUGUUAUCGCCCGGAUGGACAGGUUUGCGUGAUUUUCUUCUAGUGGUUUAGAAUCACACAGUUGAGCACUUUGAACUUCGAGAUAAACAAUCUCUUUUUCUAUUUAUGCAGGGAGGAAUUGUUGGCUCAAUGACUGGCAGUUGCCGCUUUUACGAUAUGUUAGGUAUGCUUCCUUUGAUAGGGAUUCUUAUUUGUUCAUGGAUUGACCUAUAUUCAUCAGUUUUAUGAAUCAUAUACAUCAAUCUAUAGGCAUAUGCAUUUUUGGUCUGUUUCUCAAAAUCCUUAUGCUUGGGUUUGUUCGUUUGUGCCUACCUGGGGUUGGAUAUAAAUUGCUUCAGUUUAAGUGAUCUAGAAGUAGUAUCUGAAAGUUUUUCUAGGCAUAGGCUUUAGAAAUAUGUUUCUUUCAUUAAGCAGAUUUUACAGUUGGACUGAUUCUUAAGAAAACCGAUUUUGUGUUGCUUUUUCAGACAAUCAAUUGCAACUGGGUGCUCAGAUAUGGGUAAAUGGGAAAAAGAAGUCGCCCUGCAGAAGGAUAACUGGCUUGCAGGUAGUUCUUCUCAUCCUCGGUUUUGAAUUUUGAUCACCAUAGGCUUAUCAUAAAAACCAAGAUGUGCAGUUGUCAAUAAUGUAUUAUUCAUUCCAGUUUUUGUCUCAAGAUCCGAGCAAAGUAAUGGUAACUUGUGCGGAUUCACAAGUCAGAAUUCUUCAAGGACCAAACGUGAUUGGCAAAUACAAGGGUAUGUUCCCACUGUUCUCUAAACUCAUGACCGUGCAAUUUGAUGCCUUAUUCGUAUUUUUCCCCAACUUAAGCUGUCUCUUUUUUUUUUUCAGGUGCACAUAACAACGGGAACCAGACAUUUACGUCAAUAACAGCAGACGGGAAGCACAUUGUUUCAGCUUGUGAUGAUGCUAAUGUAUAUAUAUGGAAUUGCGUUCAUCAGGAUAAGAAUAGUAUCUCUCAGUCUAAAGAUAUAAGAUCUUGUGAACACUUCUCUGCUAGUGCAUCCAUCGCGAUCCCUUGGUGUGGCCUGAAAUAUGGGAACACAGAAAAUAGGCAGUUUGAAGUACCACACGAGGAUUUACCUCAUGACCUUCCAUUUUCGUUACCUUCUUAUUUCUCUAUGGGCCAUGAAUAUUCUUCAGAGUCUUUACCUAAGGGAUCUGCAACAUGGCCGGAGGAAACACUUCCUCCAUCCAGUCCAUUGUCAAUGCCGUCUUCAAUCCAUAAAUCCCAGUACAAGUUUCUGAAAACUUCCUGCCAGAGUACAUUUGAUUCUCACGUUUGGGGUCUCGUUAUAGUGACAGCAGGAUCAGACGGUAGAAUCAGAUCAUUCCUCAAUUACGGUUUACCAGUACCCGUGUGAAAAUACCAGUAGAAUUUGGUCCCAACAAGUGGCUGCUUUUAUACGGUUGCAACAAAAUCCUUCUUGGAACGAGUGUGUGACUGAGGUUAGCUUAUCUGGAUAUCCAGGUUAACUUCAUAAUUGAUUUGUUACUCGAGAAAUCUUUUGUCUGCUCGCCUGGAAAAGAUUACGCAUGUCAUGUGUUGAAAGGCAAUUGAGAUAUAUUAUAUGCAUAAUGCAGGCAUCUGUAGCCUGUAGGACCAUGUAAACCAACCUCUUCCUUUUGUUGAUCUUAAAUUGGAUUAGAAAUCAGAGCUGGUGGCUGCGGUUCGUUCCGGGGAUAAAAAAUGGUGGGGGUGCUGCUUUGAAUGAUUGAUUUGUUUGUCUGCCAUUUUAGGUCUGCCUCAUGGUAGGGGCCAUUCAAACCUGUUCAUGGAUUCGGGAAUUUGCCAGGCUUUAUUUUUCACCGAACCGGCUUCCGUGCUUCCUUGUAAUGCUUGAAUGCCUACCGGUUUGGUCACUGUUGCGGUUAUGGUUAAUAAUUCUUUGCUAACACAUUCAUAGUAACAUCUUGUAGAGUUACUUCAUUUUUUCCCCCUUUUCUCUUUUGUUGAAGACUGGCCUGGAUUUAGGCGCACAUGUAUUUAAUCAACAGUUGUAAAUUAAUUCAGUAUAUAUGUUGUAGCAUUCAUUUGACAAAGAAUCAAGAAGCUUUACUUUAGUUUUGAAUGUCCAUGUUAUGUUUAUUAUUUAUUUAUGAUUUUCAGCUAAUGCUGAAGAUUGAACUUUUCGAAAAUUUUUAUUUAAGCCGUUGAACAGUUAAAAUCAUGAUUGUAUGGCUGUUUGUAUUGCCUACACCAAUUGAAAAUUUUUUCUUCCCCUUCUCUUCUAUGGUUUAGUUUUUUUUUAUGAAACAGCUAUGAAUGUCACGAAUAUAUAAAUCUAAAUCCAAAUAGCUUUCUUUUCCAAUCUCUGGCAUUGAUCAUCAGAUCGGUUCGGAUCUAAUGUAUGUUCUUACUUGUUGAUGGAUACUAAUCUACCGUACCGAUCAUUAAAUCAUCGUUUGGAGCUCGCUAGUCGGACCUAAAACAAAACCUUUAACAACUCAAUUACUUAAAUAAAAACUUUCAAACAAUUCAAUUACCAUUUCAUAAUUUUUUGAAGUCAAUACUCUAUACAUUCAUAUGUAUAUAUGUUACAAAGAUUGAUUACAAAUUCAACUGACAAAAUUUGAUAUGUAUGUAUGUAAAAGGUGUAGCCUUCUAUCACUGAAUUGUGGUAGAUAUGGUUGUUGAUGAAUGUAAACAGGAAGAAACAUAUGGUCUUAUUACAAAAGAACCAAAGUGUGUUAUUACAUCACAUUGGCAAAACACAAGAAUCCAAGGCCAGAGACAAAAAAACAUCCAAGGAUCGUAUAAUAAUAUCAAUUAAUUUCAAAGUUGAAGCAUAUGCCGUUAAUGUUAGAUCGAAGCCAUCACAUCAUGAUGCAAGUGAUGUUUUCCUAUACCGAUUAAAUCAAAUGUUUAAUGUAAUUUUAUCGUCAUUUUUAAUUAAAUAUGUAGUUUAAUAAUUUACUCAAUUUGUAAUUAUUUAAGUUAUUAUUUUAUAUCCAUUUUUAAUAAACCCCGGCCCAAAUGAAUGCAAUGCAUUGGAUCAGCCAAUCAUCUCCCUAAUAGCUCAUAAGAACAAAGCCCAAAACAGAAAAAGCCCAGAGCUUUUCUUUCAGAGUAUGAAUUUUGAUUGCGUCAAUUAAUCCACCAUAUGAACAAAGCCAAUAUCGAUAUUAAAACCCAGAAUUGCAAAGCUUUCGAAUGAAUUUCAGGUAAGAUUUACCAAUCUUAGCGAACAACAUACCGGAGAUUCACAUUCCUCCGAUCAAAUUAUUUAGCGGUGAGAAUUUCAUAGACAUCCAAACUAAGAAAAAAAAAGAGUCAAACAACCAGAAAAAGGCUUACAUCAAAAUUCACAGUAUUAAAAAGAACUAAAGACAAAAAAUUCGAAACCCUAGAAACAAUACGCGAUCCAUGACCUAAACAGGGAGAUUAACGACGUCGUUUGAAGGAGUGUUGUUGUUGUUGUUAGGGAUAGAGGUGACUGAUAAUGAAGAGAUGGAGGAACAAUUAGUGAACAUGAGAGGGAGAUCAUGAGCCUCGGAAUCAUCGGCAUCAUCGGAGGUGGAAAGGUUAAUGCAAGAGCAACGCUCGAGAGACGCGAAGAAAGCUUGGGCCACGCUGCUUCCCAACCACGCCGCCAUGUAAGACAAACAGCUGCCUUCACUGUUCUGCAUUCUAAGGAUUAUCUGAUUGAUUUGGGGGGGGGGGGAGUGAAGUGAGGAUCUGAAAGAAGCUGUUUUGAUUUUGAAUUGAACUUUGUUGAUAAUAAUCCCCAAAAUCAAAAUCUGGGGGUAUUUUUUGAAUUUCAAAGCCCUAAACUUGAAGAUGAAGCGAUCGGUCAAUUGACUCUAUAAAGGUAAAAGCGACGGACUUUGUCUCCUGCAAGUUACCUUCUUUCUUUUCCUGUUUUUAAUUAUAAUUUUUCCCUUAAAUUGUAGUGUUCUUUUUUUAAGGGGGUUAAUUAGUAAUUACGUUAACUAAUGGGUCAAGGCUUGUGGGCUUGGUCGGGGUUGUUUGGUCCAUAGAUUAUUCAUAUUUUAGAUAAUUUAUUUUUUUUCCCACAAGAUCAUUUAAUUUAUUGAUAACUUUUAGUUUUAUCAAUUUAUUUUACGGUGAGUAUUUGAUAUACUAAUAGUGUAUUUUUUUUAUUUCACUAGUAAUUUUAAAAUUUUGAAAUACAUUUUUUAGUUAUAAGAUGCUAGUCAACCUUUUAACUCUGCCUAUAAAGUCUAAAAACUUCACUAACAAUAUACUAAAUAAUUUUUAUUUAUUUUAUUAAACUUUUAUUAUUAACAAAUUAAGCCACUUUUUAAAAAUAAAGUAGGCAAAUUUUUAUUAUUAGCAAAUUAAGUCACUUUCUGAGGAUAAAGUAUCUAUCUUUUAUCUCUAUAUUGAGAACAAAGAUAAAAAAAAAAUUGAAGCUCAUAUAAAAACGGUCAAAAAUGUUUCAAGCCUAUGCUUAAGCAAUGACUCAUUUUAUUGUUUAAAAUUAAUUCACUCACGUUCAUUCAAUAUGUCCAUAAAAAGGAAUCUCGAGACCCUAAAUCAUGCAAUAGAAACAGUUCGGGAUAAUUUUUCGAAUACUAAAACAAAUCAAAACAAUUUAUUUCACUAUUCAUAAUAAAACUGUCCACCUGCGCAACAGUCACUAAUUUAAUUAUAACUCAAGUUACGAAACUCGAAAUUUAGAUCCAUACAUUUUCCCUUAAACUAGACUCAUAUAUCUUAUUACCAUAAAAUUUUCAGAAUUUUUGGUUUAUCCAAUUAGUACAGUUUAUUCUUUAAAGUCUCACCUGUUUCAUUAUUCGACAGCUCUGACCCCUCUUCACUAAAAAUUAAUUAUCUCAUUGUAUAGAAUUUGGAUAACAUUAUAGUUUGUUUCUAUUGAAAAUAGACUCACUAAGGAAUAUAGACAUAUAAAUUAUAACUUCCAAUUCUUUCUGUAAAUUUUUUAAUGAUUUUCUAAAGUCAGAACAGUAGAUUUCAAAAACUAUUCUGACCCUGUCUCACUAAAAUUCAAAUAUCUAAAAAUAUACAACUCUUUUGCUUACUCUAUUACUUUCAUGUGAAAAUAGACUCAUUCAGCUUUAAUUUCAUAUCUCACUCAGCUUCUAAUUCAAUUUCCACCAUUUUUGGUGAUUUUUCAAAACCAUGUCAAUGCUGCUGUCCAAAAAUUGUUUUAGUGGAAAAUGUUGAUAACUAAGUUUAUAACACCUUCACUUUCUUUCAAUUAAACCCUAUACAUGCCAUAUAAACCUUAAGAUGCACAAUAAAAUUUACCGAAGUAAUCUGGAUAGUGUGCCCUGAUAUGUUGAUCCGAUCCACCGAUUUCACAUCAAUCUACAAAGAACAUUAAUCUGUAACAGCCCGAUUUUGGGUCAAGUCGGAAUAGUGGUUUCGGGACCAAAAAUUGGACGAGGAAAAAUGAAAUGGCCUGAAUUUUCAGGGGUGUCGGAACGGUGAUUCGAGAUCACUAAAUCCGACAAAUGAGUAGAAAAUAUUAUUAAUUUAGUGAGUAUAAGUUAAAUGUGAAGUUAAGAAAAUUUUUGAAAUAGUGAAUAGUGCACUAGAAAUAAAAUAUUAAAAUAAUUAGAAAAAAUGAGGUAUCGAGACCUCAGAGAUUUUAAACCGAGCCAUAAAUAUUUUUAUAAAUAUUUAUGGAGUGUUAAAAAGUUAGUAUUAAAUUUUUGUUAAGAAAUUUUAAAUUUUCGAUAAUUAAUUGAAUAAAAAGGACUAAAUUGUAACAAAUACAAAAUUAAGGUAAAUGAUUAAAUAGCUUAAAUGAUAAAAGGAAGAGGGCUUAAAAGACAAAUAGGCCCAAUUUCUAUUUGGGCUGGACGGCAAAGGCAUGAAAUCAGCAAGAAAGUAAGGAGAAUUAAGGGCAAAAUUGGAAUAUUGCAAAAUUACUUAAUAAAGCUAGGAUCCAAGUGGAAUUAUCUAGAUUUCUCUUUAUUUUUCUGCAUUCUCAUCAAAAAAACACCAUAGAAGGGUUUCCUUAAGCUGAUUUUUCAUAUUUUUACUGCAAGUAAGUUCAAUUCUUGAUUAUUUCUUAAAAUUUUUGUGUUUUUGUGACUUUUACAACUAGGCCCACUUGUUGAAUUCAUUAGUUUUUGAUUCUAUGAAAGAAGUUGAAAGUUGCUAUGAAUAUGUGCUGCAAGUAUAUGAUGAUUUAGCAUGGAAUUAGAGCUUUAAAUUGUUUAUAUGUUGAUUUUAUUGAAAUAAUUGAAUAGAAAGUGAAUGUUUGGGACCUAAUAGUAAAACAAGUUAGGGUUUUAUGAGGAAAUUCUGAAUUUAAAUAAUUAUUAAUAACUUAUAAUGUCUAGGUAAAGUACUAAUUGAGAAAUAUUAGCUUAAUUGAGGGGUUAAUUAAGCAAGGACUGAAUUGUAUGAACUGUGAAAUUUGGGGCAAAAUGGAAAUCAACAUUUUGCACUAAAACAGUUUUGGACAGCAGCAAUAGUUUAACUUUGAAAAAUCACCAAAAAUUGUGGAAAUCAAAUUAGAGAAUGAAUAAAAUAUUAAAUUAAAGCUUAUUGAGUCUAGUUUCUCAUAGAAGAAACUAUGUAAGUAACUGUAAAUUAUGAUAUAUAAUAAAUUUUGUGAGACAAUGUCAGAAUGAUUUCGGGUUCCCCUGUUCUGAUUUUGGAAAAUCAUAAAAAAUUGAAUAAAAAUAAUUAGGGGCUUAAAUUUAUAUAUUUAAAACCCUGAAUGAGUCAAUUUUCAAGAGAAAUAAAGGGAAACAUCAUCCGAAUCUCGUACGAGGAGAUAAUUAAUUUUUAGUGAAGAAGGGUCGGAACUGUCUUGCAGUGAAACAUGAGAGACUUUAAAGAAUAAACUGUACUUAUUGGCUAAGCCAAAAAUUCUGAAAAUUUUAUGGUAAGAAUAUAUGUGAGUCUAGUUUCAGAUAAAAUUAACGGAUCUUAAUUUGGAGUUUUGUAACUCAAUAUAUAAAUAAUUUAGUGACUCUGACUCGGAUUGACAGAUUUGAAUUUACUUAUAAGUAAAUAGUGAAAAUAUAGUUAAUGUUAUUUAAGCGUGUUAUAUACAUUAAGGAUGUGGAAUGGAGAGGAGGAGGAGGAAAAUUGGAAAAUAUAAGAAUGACUUGUGUAUAAAUCGGUCAUAUAUUCGAUCAUAAUCGAUAAACGUUGAGUUAAAUGGUAGAUACGUAUUAGUAUUGAACUUAAUGAUAUUGAAUUGUAUGAGAAGCAAAUGAAAAUUUCUAUUGCUAGUGAUAUAAUUUGAAUUAAAAGAAUUAUUGUGAUAUUGAAAUGUAUAUUGGAUUGAGAAAUUAAUUUGAAUUGUGAACAUGAGAAAUUAUGAAUUGAAUGAAAUGGAAAUGAAGCAUUGAAUUGUUAAGACUUGUGAAUUGCAUGAAUAUAAAUCGGGUCUCGUAGGCCCUAUUUAUUAUGAAUAUAAUAUUUAGAGGAUAUAUGUGAAUAAUUAUAAAAGCAUGUUAAAAAUUUGAAAGUUUUAAUUUAGAUGAAAUUUUAUAAUACGGUUAAAUACGUUUACAAGUGUAUGUGUUCUGGUAAUGCCUCGCACCCUAUUCCGGCGACGGAUACGGGUAAGGGGUGUUACAUAAUCACACAGGAGUAAGCUUAUGUAAGCUUAGUAAGUUCAUAGGCAUAGAAAAUAAUUCUUACCGAACAUCUUAUAACAAUUAUACAAUAUAUAAUUUCACUAAUUCUUCAUUUUCUUAAUCAACUUAGGAAACGGUUAUGGAAUUGAGUCCUUUGUUUUUUAAAAUGUCAUAGUAUAACUAUGGUCUUGCACAUAAUCAGUCACAUAUCACACACCGAAGCCAUGGUCCAGCCAUGGUCUUACAUGGAAGCAUAUAUCACACCGAUGCCAUAUAUCGGAUAUGGUCUUAUACGGAAAUCACAUAUCACAUAUUGCCAUGUUCCAACCAUGGUCUUUUCCGUCAAUGCGUAUGAGUCACUGAACGAAAGUACUCAAUCCAAUGUUCCACUAAAUUAGAACUUUUAUUCAAACAUUUAUAUUUUCACAAUUAUCUCAGUUUAAUAACAUUCAUAUAAAAUAACAUACCAUAGCAUUCAUGAAAUUCCAAAGUAUAAUACAACAUUUCCUACCAAGCACAAUCUCAAACAAUGAAUUUACUCAAUUGAGCUCAAUAUCAAAUAUCAACUUAUAUUCCAACAUUUAGCUUCAAUUGCACUUACAAAUACUUGUUAAAUUAAGAAUCGUCUUACGGAUUUGAGUACAUCGUUUGCCCGGUGCCACGAUUUGCUUGAAUAUUUUACAAUGCUAUAACCCAGUAUGGUUUCCUUCACUGAAAUACCAUACCUACUUUUCACAUCUCAGUAUGGUUUUCUUCACUGAAACACUAUUCCUACUUUUCACAACUCAGUAUGGCUUUCUUCACUGAAACACCAAACCUACUUUUCACAAUUUUCCAUGGAUUUUCACUAUGGGCUUAUUCGUCAAUUCAUCACUGAUUACAGAACGUAUGUACUCAAUCCUGCGUAUCCCUUAAUUUAAACUGACAAUCUCAUUUUUUUACUCAUUUUUACCAUAAUCAUAAUUCAACAACAAUAUACGAAUUGAUACAAUAUAUCAUUCCCACAUUAACAAUUAAUCAUAAAAAUUUAGCCAUAUGAACUUACCUGGGCCAAUUUGUAGGAUUUGUAAAAGUUCAGAGACUAUUUUGAUACUCUCUCUUUUCCACAUUUAUCUUCAGAUUCUCGAUCUAUAAUAUAAAAUUUUCCAUUAAUUAGCAUCUAACUCAAUACUAAUUCACUUCACAAUUUAUGCCCUUCAAUUUUUGAAAUUACACUUUUACCUUAAAACUUACAAUUUUUACAAUCUAGUCCCUACUCAAUUAACACUUUAAUUGAACUAUUUUUUUUCCUCAAAUAACACUUUAUCUAAUAAUUUUAGGGUAUUAUACAGCCUUUUAUAUUCAUAAUUUCAGUACAAAACCCCAAUUCCUAGCUUUUUCACAAAUAAGUCCUAAAAAUCAUUUUCUACUAAAAUCACUUAAUAAAAUCAUAAUAUAAUAAAAUUAAAGCUUGAAAUAUAUGAUAUUCAUCAUAAAAUUCCAGUACUCACUCAUGGUAACUUUAAAAAUCAUUCAUAGAAUCAAAAACAAAUGAAUUCAAUAGUUGGACUUAUUUGUAAAAGUCAUAAAACAUGAAGAAUUACAAAGGAAAAGCAAGAAUUGAACUUACAUGAUGAAAAAUAUGAAAAAAAACAGCUUGAAAACUCUCUCCUAUGGCGUUUUGGCUGAAGAAAAAUGAUGAUAUCUCUAGAUUUUUCAAUUUUGUCUUUAUUUUAUAUGUUUAAUUUGCAAAAUUUCCAAUUUUGCCCUUAUUUCUCCUUAUUUCUUGCUGAUUUUCUUGCCCAAACCGUCCAGCCCAUAUACUUUAGGCCUAAUUUCCUUUUAAAUCCCUCCUUAUUAGUCACUUAAACUAUUUAAUCACAAUUUAACAAAUUUUGCACUAUUUUCAAUUUAGUCCUUUUUAAUUAAUCCAAACGUUAAAAUUUUCUAACGAAACUUUUAUACUAACUCAAUGACACUCCAUAAAUAUUUAUAAAAAUAUUUAUGGCUCGAAUUAUGAAUUCGAGGUCUCGAUACCUCGUUUUAGACCCAAUUUACCAAUUAAAUUCUUUUUAAAUCACAGAAUUCACUAAUUUAAAAAUUCUUCUAAAUUCACACUUGACCCAUAAUUAUUAACUUAUUAAAAUUUCAAGCUUACUUGUCGGAUUUAGUGAUCCCAAAUCACUGUUUUCGAUACCACUAAAAAUUAGGCUGUUACAAUAUAAUUAUACAAAUAUAUAAAAUAAUAAUAUUUUUUAUAUUUUUUAUUAUAACGACUUAAACAAGCAUCAUCAAGUCACAUCAAGAGUCUAUUGAUCAGAUACUCUAGACCUUACGGUCCCAUAAGUAUUAGACUAUCCCAUAUAAAAACACAAGAAAUCAAGAGAGAGAGGAGGAAAGCUUCUUCUCCUCUUCAUCUUUCUCUAACCGAGAACUCACUUUUCUCCAUACUUUGACAAUUAAAUCUGUCGGCCCUCUACCCUGUCCUAAAUGAAGUGAAUCGAUCAACUUCUUCACCACUCAAACAUAAUAUUAACACAUUCGUUGAGUAUUCUCAUAAAAAAAAUUAUUUACCAAAAUUAAUAUCUCAAAUUUAAUUUAUUUUAAAAAUAAUUCGCUAGGAUAACAUUCGCUUUAUAAUUAUUUACCAAAAUUAGCAUAAAAGCUCUAUUUUGUUGAUAAUAAAAGUUUGGAUUAUGGCCAAUAAUAAUAAAGUUGACGAUAUAGCUUGAUUAAAUUAAAGAAUUAUUACUUUUAUAUUAAUUUCAGUAACUUAAAAAGUAAAUUACCCAACAUUGACAAUCAUAAAUGGAAUUCAUGAUUUGGGUCCAUGAACCUAAUCUAUAAAGGGGACCUAUUAAUUAGAUCCCUAAAUCAAACUUAUGAAUUCGACUGUAAAUUGGAUCCAUGAACCGAACCCACCAAAAUUUAUACAUCUCAUUAUAUCAUAUAAAUAUAUAUAUACAAUAACCUAAAUACACUAUAAUUGUGACAAGUAGUGCAAUCAUAUUUUAUUUAUUUAUUUUUAAUUUUUAGUUAUUCAUUAAUUAAAUUAAAACAAUUUUAACAUGAUUUAGAAGCAAAUAGAGUAAAAACAAAUAAAUAAUAAAAAAUAUUAAUAACUUUUUAAAAUUUAAAACGUAUGAAACGAAAUGAUUAUGUUUAAAAAAAUUAAAAUUGAAACCUACGUGGAUGAUUAUGUUUUAAAUAUGAAAUUUUUUAAACGCAAUAAUUUUGUAUCAACUUCAAUUAAUUUAAUUUAAUCAUCUUACUUACAUUCAAUUUGAUCACUGUUAUUUUGAUUCUUUAUGUAGAUUUAAAUUUAAAUGUUUAUUCUACGUAGUAUUAUUUUUUAAUGUUAUUAUAUGUAAAUUUAUUUAUGAUAUUAUUUAUUCGAUAAAAUUAUAAAGUAAAUACGUAAUACAUGUAGAUUUAUUUAUAAAUGAUAUAAAAGAUGGCCUUUAUACCAGGUUUAUAACGGGCAAAAAACUAAAAAAAGUCCUUUUUUUUUUAAAUUUACUGAAAUAGGCCGAUUUUUUAAUUAUUUACCAGAAUGGGCCAUUUUCCCCGAAAUCGCGUCCACGUCAGCGCGCUGACGUUGACGUGGACGCGAUGACCUGUCACGUAGCGCGUUUUUCGGGGCACGAUUUUGACGUUGAUUUCACGUUGGGUUUUCUGGGUUUUAGGGUUUAGGGUGCAGGCUUUUUUAGGGUUUAGGGGUCCCGAAAAAAAUUAUUUCGAGUUGACGUUUCUGGUCAAAUAGUAUAAAAUCGCUUCUACCAGGAUGCUAUCAGAGAAGAAAUUGUGAAAUCGUGCCCUCGUGGAUGCCAUUUCAGCACAGUUGGUCAUGUAAGAAGUAAUUUUUUUUGACGUUUUCUGAGCAAAUAGUAUAAAAUCGCUGAUACCAGGAUGCUAUAUGAGAAGAAAUUGUGAAAUUGCGCCCUCGUGGACGCGAUUUCGCUACAGUUGGUCAUGUAGGAAAUUUUUUUUUUACAUUUCUGAGCAAAUAGUGUAAAAACGCUGAUACCAGGAUGCUAUAUGAGAAGAAAUUGUGAAAUCGCGCCCUCGUGGACGCGAUUUUGCUACAGUUGGUCAUGUAGGAAAUAAUUUUUUUUUGACGUUUCUGAGCAAAUAGUGUAAAAUCAUGCCCUCGUGGACGCGAUUUUGCUACAGUAGCAAGUUUGGGCUGAGGCUAUAAAUUAGGUAGAAAAUGUUCUUAGAAUGCAUAAGUCAUAGCAGAAACAUUUUAGAGAGGCUAAGAAAGUUAGAGUUUCAAAAUGAGUGAACGUAUUAGUGCUGUUAUUUACUACGAUGGUGAGGUUUGCCACACCGAGAAUGGUGUUAUUUUUUUGUCGGAGAAUACGGUGCGACUGUCAUUUAGCCAAAACAUAGAUUUGACAGAACUUCGUAAAAGAAUUAGGCGUAAAAUCUUCGGAAUGACGCCAAUGAAAGUUCUGUCAAUCACGUAUCGAUUUUGUUCUUCUGUUGAUCCGGUGACAUAUGACUCGUUUGACAUAAAAGGUGCUCGUAGCUUGGAGGCAAUGGUGCAAACUCAUCUUGCUAGCGGAGCAACUUAUAUUGAGUUAUAUGUACAAUUUACGUCGCCAACUGAUGUACUUCCGUCCGGUGUUCGAGAUGUAUACACGACCCCUGGCCGACACUCGGUUAGCGGGUUACAAAAUACGGAACAACCCAUGUUCGGUAGCGGUGUCGAAUGUACAUCCCCACCAAGACACUCUGUCGGUGGAUGAGACAUGUACGUCGGUGGCUCGACGUUUGACGCUAGAAAUACGAAAUGGGGAACUGCAUCAAGUUCUAGUGGAUGGCAAUCUACAUCCAAUUGGGGACGUUAUCAAAUGCCCAGAAGAAGGGAUGACGUACUACCUACGACAUCAACCGGUGAGGGGACGUCGUACGCUGCAGAUGAUUGUGGGUUAGAAGAUGAGUCCGAUGUGGAUCCACCUCGAGAGCCCGGGCCGGAUGGUGCAGAGGUGGGAUUAUUUUCUGAACCGGAGCCUAUUCCAACAGAAGGUGAAGAUGGUGAUAGGAGUGCAGAUGAUGAUGAAGAUCCACGAUUCAGAGCAUACUCACCUCCAGCCCACAUGCAUAAUGUCGAUCUGUCAGCAGAUGAUGCGUUAGAGUUUCCAGAUCUACCACACCGGUUGCGAGAUCGUACAAGUCCGGGGGUAGAUCCUGGUGAACUUGAAGUUGGUAAUCUAUUUACCAAUAAGGAUAGUUUUAUUGGUGCUUUGAAACAGCAUAGCAUCAAAAACGGCGUUAAUUACCACGUCGUUAAAUCAAAAUCUGAUAAGUUUGAGGCGAAGUGUGCGGUGCAAGACGACAAAUGUUCAUAGAAAAUCGUCGCCUCGUUAAGGAAGAGGACAGUGUUGUGGGAGAUCAAAAAGUACAAAGGUCCACAUACAUGUGCUGCAGGUACAGUAUUGAAUGUGUCUGAAUAAUAUUUUUAUUUUCCAAUGUUGCAUUAUUUAAUGUACUCCCUCCCUCUGUAGGUGUUUCAGAAGAUCAUCCGAAAAUGGAUUCAGCUAUGUUGGCUAGCUUGAUACUGCCCACGAUAAAGGUAGAUCCUAGGACUUCAGUGCCGGUGAUAAUUUCCAAUAUCCGUAGCCAAAUGGGGUACACGCCCUCUUACCGUAAGGCUUGGAUAGCUAAGCAAAAGACAUUGGAGAAGAUGCAUAGUGGGUGGGGCGCUUCAUAUAAUGAAAUAUGGCAAUGGUGUCAGGUGCCAUCACAGACCUUGAAACGGAACAUGCGUACUACAACGGUCGAUUGCUACGUGGAUGCCAAGUGUUCAAACGCCUUUUUUGGACAUUUAAGUAAUGCCAAGACGCAUUUCCAUACUGCAAGCCGUUUGUACAAAUUGACGGUACCUUCAUGUUCGGUAGGUACACUCAUCGGCUAUUGGUUGCAGUGGCACAGGACGACGGUGGGAGAAUUCUUCCAAUUGCAUUUGCAAUAACACCGGGGGAGUCGUCAGAUGACUGGAAUUUCUUUCUCUCUAGGUUAAGGAGACAUGUGUGCCCCCAACCUGAUAUCUGUGUUAUUUCAGACCGGGGGCGUCGGUAUACUAGCUGCAUUUGAUCGAGAGGGAAGCCUGUGGCAGCGUACACACCAUAGAUAUUGCCUGAGACACGUUGCUUCGAACUACUACAGGCAAUAUCCAUCUAAGAUCGAACGACGACAAGUGACCAACAUGGGUAUUUACUAUAUACCUGUAUUAUUUCGUUUGUCAUUUUGAAUUAGUUUUAUUGGUAGAAGUGGUAUAAAAUAUUUGCUAUGUUCUUAUAUUGGUAGGGUAUGAAAUGAAUAAAGAUCGUUUUCACGAGAUGUUGGCAAUCUUACGAUCCCAAAACAGAGAAGGGGCGGACUACCUUUGCAACAUACGUUUCGAACAGUGGGCACAAGCAUACGACGGAGGCCUACGAUAUGGGCAUAUGACGUCGAACCUGGCAGAAUGCAUAAAUUCUGUUCUUAAAGGAACGCGCCAUCUAUCGAUAACAGCGGUUGUGCGAGAGACAUAUUUCCGUUUGGCGGCGCUAUUUCCAAAGCGAGCGGCAACUUAUGCAGGCCAGAUGCAGGGUGGGCAUGUAUGGUGCAGUAAGGUAGUUCAAGAAAUUAACAAGGCGAACGCGAGGGCAAACACCAUGCACGCAGUGUGUCACGAUCGAGAUAAUUUAUGGUUUCGCGUGACGGAGUUUGACAGACCGCACCAAUGUGUUGUUGGCGGGCAAUAUCGUGUACACUUGCGAAACAGGACUUGUGACUGUGGGAAGUUCGACGCACUUCGUUAUCCAUGCGCUCAUGUUUCCAAAAACUUUUGUUAAUGGUUAGUCAAAUUAUCAAUUUAUGUAAAAUUAUUAAGCCGGAAAUAGUGUGGUACAAACUAGUAAGAUUAUCAAAUUAGGUUAGGGUUUUAAAUUAAAUUAGGUUAGGGUUAGAGUUUAUAAUUAAAUUAGGUUAGGGCUAGGGUUUUAUAAUUAAAUUAAAUUAGGUUAGGUUAGGGUUUUAUAAUUGAAUUAGGUUAGGGUUAGGGUUUAUAAUUAAAUUAAAUUAGGUUUGGGUUUUUAAUUAAAUUAAAUUAGGUUAGAGUUUAGGUUAAUUAAAUUAAAUUAGGUUAGGGUUUAGGGUCUUCAAGUUUAGUCGGUAAUCCACGAUAACUUACCGGAUGGUUCCACCUAAUUCAAUAAAUUUUUAGCAUACUUUUAUUAUUACAAAAUCUACAUAACAAUUUCAAAAUGUAAUAUAAAAUUUACCUCGACACGAGUGAGAAUGUAUAUGGGUGGUUCACUCGAGGACGUAGAAAUGGAAAGAGAAACCGUGCCCAUGAUUGCAGUAGUGACAGGCAACCUCCGAUUUUUGCUCUCCUCGGUUUCGUCGCCCCGCACAUCUCACGAUACAAUGUUGCCAAGACGGCAGACCCCCAACUAAAUUCACCGGUUGCUCUAAAAUCAACGAGUUUUAGCAGCCACCUUAGAUGUACACGGCUCCGUGACGUGUCGGCCAUCAGAUAGCCUCCAAUUAUUUGAAGAAUGUAUGAUCGGGCAUAUCGAAUUCUUUCAAUUUCGGUUGAAUUUGCAUUCAGAUUGGGGAAGGUGGCACGUAACCAGCCCAUCUCCACCUUACCUCCAUCCAUUUUAUCCGGUACAGCGCCCAAAAGCUCGUAACACACCGCCUCCCAGUUGCUAGAUUGGGCAGACCCGGUGACUGGGUGCCCGUCCACCGGCAAUCCCAAAUGCAGAUGGACAUCUUCUAGAGUGAUAGUGCACUCUCCACAUGGAAGAUGAAAUGUGUGCGUCUCGGGUCUCCACUUCUCGAUGAGCGCACUGAUCAGUUUCGGCUCCAACUUGCAUCCCCGGCCUACCGUCGCCACGUGCCAAAAUCCCGCUUCCCACAGGUAGUUCUCUACUAACGGUGAUGGAGGACCAUGCAUAUUCCGAAUAUUGCAUUCCAAUACCCGAUCUUCAGACUUUUAUAACAAAAAAUAAAUUAAUAUUUAUCUAAAAAUACAUAAAUAAAAUUAUCUUAAAUAAAAUUUAAAAUUUAAAUUUAAUACUUACCAUUUUCAUUUGCUUCACCGAUAUGUGAUUCCUAUCAAGACGAAUCAAUGAUUCGGCCAUUGCAGAAAAUAUUAAAAAUUUUAAAAUUAUUUUAAAAAAAUAAAAAUAUUUAAAAUUUAAAAAAAAAAUGAAAUGAGNNNNNNNNNNNNNNNNNNNNNNNNNNNNNNNNNNNNNNNNNNNNNNNNNNNNNNNNNNNNNNNNNNNNNNNNNNNNNNNNNNNNNNNNNNNNNNNNNNNNNNNNNNNNNNNNNNNNNNNNNNNNNNNNNNNNNNNNNNNNNNNNNNNNNNNNNNNNNNNNNNNNNNNNNNNNNNNNNNNNNNNNNNNNNNNNNNNNNNNNNNNNNNNNNNNNNNNNNNNNNNNNNNNNNNNNNNNNNNNNNNNNNNNNNNNNNNNNNNNNNNNNNNNNNNNNNNNNNNNNNNNNNNNNNNNNNNNNNNNNNNNNNNNNNNNNNNNNNNNNNNNNNNNNNNNNNNNNNNNNNNNNNNNNNNNNNNNNNNNNNNNNNNNNNNNNNNNNNNNNNNNNNNNNNNNNNNNNNNNNNNNNNNNNNNNNNNNNNNNNNNNNNNNNNNNNNNNNNNNNNNNNNNNNNNNNNNNNNNNNNNNNNNNNNNNNNNNNNNNNNNNNNNNNNNNNNNNNNNNNNNNNNNNNNNNNNNNNNNNNNNNNNNNNNNNNNNNNNNNNNNNNNNNNNNNNNNNNNNNNNNNNNNNNNNNNNNNNNNNNNNNNNNNNNNNNNNNNNNNNNNNNNNNNNNNNNNNNNNNNNNNNNNNNNNNNNNNNNNNNNNNNNNNNNNNNNNNNNNNNNNNNNNNNNNNNNNNNNNNNNNNNNNNNNNNNNNNNNNNNNNNNNNNNNNNNNNNNNNNNNNNNNNNNNNNNNNNNNNNNNNNNNNNNNNNNNNNNNNNNGUUUAUACUAUUACAAAUAAGCAUAAAAUAGUAUUAAAUAUUUUUAAAAUAUUUUAAUUUAAGCAAACUUUUAAUAAACGUUAUUUGAUUUAUUCUUCCAUAUUUAAUUUUAAAACGAAGUACUAUAUCGAAACUCAUCUUUAAAAAGUGUAUAAAAAGGAGAAUUAAAAAAUUGUGGCAAUAUUAAUUAAUAAUUAUUUAAAAAUAUUUAAUUUUAAAAUCAUUUUUAAAAUGACUUAAAAAUACAAAUGAAAAGUUAAAUAAAAAAUAUUUUUUAGAAUAUUUUAUUUUAAUUUUAUAAAAUUUAUUAUAAUAUCAAAUAUUAUGUUUUAUAUUAUUAUAUUAUAAUUUUGUAAUCAUUUUAUUAAUGGAAUGUUAUAAAAUUAAAAAAAAUGAAAAAAAUAAACAUUAAUUUUAUUUUCAUUUUCUCAAUCAUACAAAUUUUGAAACAUUACAAAUUUUAUAUCAAAAUUUUUAAAAACAUAUCAUAUAUUUUAAUUAAUGCAUACAAUCAAAUUCAUGCACACGAGUAAAAAAAUUAGUUAUCAAAAUAUAUCAAGGUAGAUAUUUGAAUAGUUACACGAAUAUAACCUCAAAAUUUCACGUCAUUAUAAGGUUAAAAUAUGGUAUAAGUCCUUUUACUCUUCAAAAAUUUAAAAGUUAGCCAUUGUACUUUUAUUGCUAGAUAUUUAGUUAUUGUACUUUUCAAAUUUUAAAUUUCAGGUCAUAUUUUUUUUGUUAAAUUUGUCUCCGUUGUAUUUGAAAAAAAAAACUCAAUUGGUAGUUAUGUAAUUAAGAAAAUAACGUUAUAAUGAACUUGAAUUUAAAAUAAUAAUUUUAAUAACAACAUAUAAAACUAAAUUUUAAAAUAUAAAAAAUAAAAAGACUAAAGAUUAAAUUUUAAAUUUUAAAUUUACGAAAUUAUAAAUAUAAAAUCCGGAAAAAGUUAAGUAAGUUAGGAUGCUGACAUUCACAAGUGAAUACACUAUUUGUUAUGGCAAAUCAUGCACAACACUGCUCUUAACACAUUAAAGAACAAGACAUGUGAAUCUGAGCGUUUUGUUUUUGUUUCCCCUCUUGUAUGACGGGGGGCUUGUUUUUGGUUGUUGGGCUUGUACAAUAAAUAAUAAUCUUGAGCUGCCAUUCUUUCAGCAACUACGGUUCCUUUCUAUUUUAGACCCUUUCAAACUGACUGUCAAACCCCCAACCAUAUUUCCCCAACUGUCCUUUGAACAUGCAGCUUAGCAAUAAGGACAGCAAAGGCAUUUUGGGAAUCCAACAAACAUUGUUUUCCCUUCAUACUGGAAAUUUCUAUUUAUAACGAUGGGAAUACUAGGCUUCAUGGGGGUGUCUUAAGCUUAAGGCAAAGCACUUUAUUCCUCUUUGUAAUGUUUCUUGCUCAAAUGAGUAUUCCAAUCACAGUUGCAUUUGCAUAUACAUAUAUAUAUUCACACUCAUAAAACCAAAAAACAAAACACAAAACACAACAUGGGUCUGUAUUAAUGUCCCAUGUUUUACCAUAUGUUUGGUUUUAUGAUGCAUUUGCUUCUGUUUUUCUGAGAUGCUCAUUUAAGCAAGCAAUGUUAAAAAAGUGGAACUUUCUCUACCUUUAUAUGAUCAGGUGAAAUUCUUACAAUCUUUAACUGUGUUUAUUAUAUGAGCUUUGUUCAGAUCUUGUUUAUUAACUUUCACAUUGAAGUUCUGCUAACCAUUUGUGGGUGUGUGUGUUUUGAGUUAUGGAGUGACUUUGGUAAUUGAAUUGCUUGAUGUUGGGGAUUGCCCCAUUUCUUUAGUUCAUCUUCCCUUUGCCUCGACAAUUAGAUCUAUGAGAAUCCGAAGGUAGCUUCGGGUUUGGCCGGUAAAAUGGAAUUCGAUUGCCAAUGCUAUGGUAUGGAAUAACCUAUUGAAAAGGGUCUGUGAAGCGCUAAUAAUUGGUUCUCAGGUGAAGUGUACACCACUCUGUUACUAUGUAUGAUGUGAAUGCAUCAGUACCAUACAAAGUUUUUUUCGAGGUUGUCGACGAGUCGACGGUAUCGGAUUCCAAUUUCAAGGGCUUCACUGAGUUUUUGAUAGACGGAAUAGUACGUACUUGCCAACUUUCUUAUCUUUGUCGUUGAUCUGGUUCUUCAUUUUGUAAACAUAGUUCUCCAAGUUGUUCAUGAACUUCAACAUGUAUUUAUCGCAAUUAAUUUCAGUAUUGUCCAUUAAAUCAGCCAUUGCAAUAAUUCAAUGCCAUAAAAUUUACUAUUUAUUACAACUGACGC